UAUCCGACAGUAGGAUAUCCUGAAUUAAGCUGUUGGAGUGGCUAAUGCAGGCUGGGUUCCCCUGAGGGACACAUCCUAUUUCAAGACCUCCCACCCCAAAGAGGAAGGAGUGAGGUGCCAGGCCUCCUUUCAGAGGGAGAAACCUGGAUUUGGGGUGCAGUGGUAUCCAGAACUUGGGGACGCUCCGGGGAAAACCAGCACUGUGACCCUUUGGCGGCAGUCGGCAGUCGCUAACCUCCCAAGUACACAAAAGGCAUGGCUGGUGGCAGUUGCUAAACUCCACCAAAGGCAUGGCUGGAUAUUGUUACCUGUCUCCAAGACCUGUCCUACCCUGGUAACAUAGCACCCAGAGCCCCAGAGUCAUGUCACUGGGCACACAACGGCAUGUCGGUGAAGCCUCUGCACUUGGACUCAACUAACAGACAUGAGUUUUUAAGAAAACUAGUCUUGGGGCCUAGAGAGAUGGCUCAGUGGUUAAGAGAACUGACUGCUCUUCCAGAGGUCCUGAGUUCAAUUCCUGGCAACCACUAUAAAUAAAGUAAAUAAAUCUUAAAGCAUCUGCAUCUUGCCUACGUGUAUGCUGUGCACCAAGUGUGUGCCUAGUACCCAUGGAGAAGGCAUUGGAACUCUGGGAUUGGAA
rnacentral:lncRNA from 1 species